UUAUGUACCAGCUUGUCAAAGCCUGAUCUCAUCAGAUCUCAGAAGCUAAGCAAAGCAGGGCCUGGUUAGUACUUGGAUGGGUGACUGCUGGGAAAACCAGGUGCCACAGU
rnacentral:rRNA from 1 species